rnacentral:siRNA from 1 species
CGGAAUCAUAAAACAUUGCC